CUCGUACUCCCUCCGUCCGGAAAUACUUGUCAUCAAAAUGAAUAAAAGGAGGUGUAUCUAGAUGUAUUUUGAUUCUAGAUACAUUCUUUUUUGUCCAUUUUGAUGACAAGUAUUUUCAGACGGAGGGAGUACACC
rfam:Triticum aestivum genome assembly, contig: Triticum_aestivum_CS42_TGACv1_scaffold_577954_7BL